AGUGGUAAAUGACUCCAACUAGGAACCACGAGGUUGUGGGUUCAGUCCCUGGCCUCGCUCAGAGAGUUAAGGAGCCAGCGGUACUGUGAGCUGUGGUGUAGGUCGCAGAUGUGGCUUGGAUCCUGCAUUGCUGUGGCUAUGGCUGUGGCCGGCAGCUGUAGCUCCAUUGCAACACUUAGCCUGGGAACCUCCACAUGCUGCAGGUGUGGCCCUAAAAAGCAAAAAAAAAAAAAAAAAAAAAAAAAAAAUUUUUUUAAAUACAAAAUAAGAUUCUUCUGGUGGCCUAGCAGUUAAGGAUUCAGUGUUGUCACUGCUAAGGAUCAGGUUGGAUCCCUGGCCCAGGAACUUCCAUAUGUCAUGGGUGUGGUCAAAAAAAAAAGAAAAAGAAAAUACAAAAUAGAAAUAUAAGUAGUGCAAGAGAAUACCCACUGUGAGCAUUUUAAUCAUUAUCCUUUUGGCCUUUUCUCUAUACACUCUUCAUGUCGUUUUUAGCCCUUCCUUCAUAUAAAAUUAGGACCAUAUUCUAGAUUCUGUUUUAUAACUGCUUUUUACAGCUUUCACCAUUAUGCAGUCGACAACCUUCCCAUGUCAUUAGCAUUCUUUUACUGCAUUUAAAGGGUUGCUAACUGUCCACUUGGAGUUCCAUCAUCUACAUAAAAAAUCAUCUCUUAUCUUCCUUCCUCCCUUCCUUCCUUCCUUCUUUCCUUCCUUUCUUUCUUGGCAUCACCAGCAGAAUAUGGAAGUUCCUGGGUCAGGCAUUGAACCUGCUGAAAAAUCAUUUUCCAUGUUUACAUUUUAUGUUACAAAAAAUCAUUUAUGAUUUUUCAGUGUCAUAAACAAUAAUAUGUGAUGAUCAUUCUUUUUUUUUUUUUUUUUUGGUCUUUUCAGGGCUGUACCCAUGGCAUAUGAAGUUCUCAGGCUAGGGGUCGAAUUGGUGCUGUAGGCGCUGGCCUACGCCACAGCCACAGCAAUGCCAGAUCUGAGCCAAGUUUUCGACCUACACCACAGCUCAUGGCAGCACCGGAUCCUUAACCCACUGACCGAGGCCAGGGAUAGAACCUGAGUCCUCAUGGUUUCUAGUUAGAAUCGUUUCCGCUGAGCCAUGAUAGGCACGCUCUGUGAUGAUCAUUCUUGUAGCUAAAUCUCUGCCCACAUCUGCGAUUUUUCCUUUAGACGCAAUUCUAGAAGUUGGGUGUCUGGGUAUAAAGAGAUGUAUACUCCUGAGGUUUAGACAUCUCCCAGUUAAUUUUUUAACAGUGGCAUAACAGUUUGCACUGAGAGUAUGAACUGAAAUGGAUUCCUGUCAGGUGGUUCUUAGAAUCCUGAGAGUGGAGUUCCGUUGUGGUGCAGUGGAAACGAAUCUGACUACUGUCCAUGAAGAUGUGGCUUCAAUCUCUGGUCUCAGUGGGUAGGAGAUCUGGCAUUGCCAUGAGCUGUGGUGUAGGUCGCAGACAUGGCUUGGAUCCUGCAUCGCUGUGGCUGUGGUAGAGGCCUCAGCUGUAGCUCCCAUUUGACCCCUAGCCUGGGAACUUCCAUAUGCUCUGGGUGUGGCCAAAAAGAAAAAAAAAAAAAUCCUGAGAGCAACAACAGUGACAGCAAUGACAAUGUUAAUUGUCUGGUACCUGUUACAUCUCUUCAUUUAUUUCCCAGCAAAAACCUAGCUAGAUGGGGAUUAAUUGGUACCUUUGACAAACAAAGACACAGGUUCAAGAGAAGGACCGUAUUCAAGUUCUUUCAGAAGAAGGCUGGAUGCAAAGCUGGACCUGUCUAACCCAAAGCCCUCUGCCCACUCCAUGGUGUCUUCUAGGGACUGGAAAAUCCUUUUGCUGUACUGUACCAGGGAGCCCAACUGGGCUAGUGACCCCGGUAAGCUACAAUAGCAGUGGUUAAUAAUGAUCAUAGUAAGAGCUAAUACUCAACUGAUGCUAAUAGACUGAAUAGGAAAGCAAGUGGGAUUGAGAGACGGAAAAAAAGAAUGAAUCUGGAAGGGUGGGUGCAUACGGGGAGGGAUUCUGAGUCAGAUGGAAGUUACAAGAAGAUAAAAAAUUGAAAUCGCAUGUCAACCCACUUGUUGCUGACAUGUCACGAGCUUGUACAAGCUUCCUCAGUCACCAGGACACCAGGCUGUUGGCCUCAUUCCCCUGUAGUAACAUUGAUAAGUACAUUCCACUGAGACCAGAUGUAGCUGUGAGAGGCCAGGAGCUCGUUUACUAGAAGACACAAAAGGGGUGGAGGGGUUGGUGCAAAUUUUCAAUCGUGUCUUGGAGUUUUUGUGAAAGGCCAAGAUGGGAAACUUUCUGGGGAUGUUCCAGUGAAAUUCUGGAUCAAGCUGCAUACGUUUUUCCAUGAAGCUAUUAGGGCUGGCUACUCAAAAAUAGCAAGAGAACUCGUGUGUGUGUGUGUGUGUGUGUGUGUGUGUGUGUGUGUGUGUGUGUUUGAGUGAGAGAGAGAGAGAAAGAGGGAGAAAGAGAGCAUGAGCACAUGGGGACAUCCAUGCAAGAAACACUGUGAUUGACAAGUUUGGGGGAAACUGAAUAAUUUUUAACCAUUUGAUAAUUUGUUCUUAGUCCUGCUCCCUGCUGACUUACAUUUCCAUACAUGUUCUGCUUGUCAACUGAUAGGGUAAGUAGCUGGGAAGGUAUAGAGAAGAGAAGGGGAAGGGUGAGAAAAGGCUUUGGAUGCCACAAAUAGAGUUUCUAAUCCAAAUUUAGCCACCAAUCAGAUUUACAUAAGAGAACAAUAGCUAACAUGUAUUUCAGGAUCUGUGUUAAGUGCAUCUUCUAUAUCAUUUAACUUUCAAAGCCGCUCCACAGCAGAGAUUCUCCCAGGGUCCCUGUUUUAUAGAUGAGGAAACUGAAGAUCAGGAGGCCUAGGAAAAAUUUAUGGAAGAUAUAGGCAGAUUUGAGUUGGGGGCCAUCUAAAUUCAACAUUCUACUCUUCCUAUUUUUUUUUUUUUUCCUGUUUAGGGCUGUACCGCGGCAUAUGGAGAUUUCCAGGCUAGGGGUCGAAUUUGAGGUACCGCUGCCAGCCUCCACCAUAGCCACAGCGAUGCAGGAUCCUAGCCACUUUUGUGACUUACACCACAGCUCACAGCAAUGCCAGAUCUUUAACCCAUUGAUCAGGGCCAGGGAUCAAACUCACAUCCUCAUGGAUACUAGUCGAGUUCAUUACCACUGUGCCACAACUGGAACUCCAACAUUCUACUCUUCUGAAUGGCAUGACUUGGAGAGAAUUUUUAAGUCAGGCCUCAGUUUCUGUUCUUUAAAGUAGAGAUGAACACAGCUGACCCAGGCUACCGUCAGGGGACCUAAAUUAAGUGUAGUAUUUCACACCAGAGUCUGGCGCAUAAUAGGUCCUCAGUGAAUGUUACUUAUUCUCCUUGCCCAGGACUUUCAGAAGGGGAGAGGACAUAGGAAAAACCAAACCAAACCAAAAACCUGACUAGACUGGACAGAGGGCAUUGCUAUAAAAAAGAAGAAAAGUUCAGAUUCACCUUAGAUUCAAGAAUGCAAACAGGAUAAAGGACACUGGGCUCAGAACCACACAUAGACUGAUUUAGCCACAAGCUUGUGGAGGUGAGGGUAUUGUGUCUAAUUGGCAAAUGAAGAAGUGGUGCCCUAAAAGACUAAAUACCUUUCCCUAAGUCCUUUUGCUGGGAUUUUCUCCAAGGAGUGAACCUACUUGUUAUGCUUUUAUUUAUUUAUUUAUGUAUUUUUUGAGGAAGAAUGUACAUACCAUGGAAGUCACCUCUAGAAGUAUACAGUCUACUCUAUUCACAGAGAAGUGCAACCAUCACCACUAUGCAACUGUCUAAGUCCAGAGAAUUUUCAUUGCCCCAAAGAGAAUCUGCUGACUCAUGAACAGUCACUCCCAUUCCUCCCUCCCUUGGACCCAGCAGGCAGUUUGAAGAGUGGUCCUCGAUGUGGCUGCAAACAUGUCUAUUUCCUUCUUCCCAACCAACCAAUGGAGUGAGGGACUCUCCCCAUGCAGACUGAAGAGGUGUGAACUGAAGUCUGGCACUUGCCAUCAGCCUCUGCAUGGAGUAAAACAUGAGCCACUGAAGCUGCAGACCCGCAGCACUGCCUGAGUGGAGCUCAGCGUGGAGACCAGGCGUGAGGCUCUCUGUGCUCUGGGAAAACUGGAAGAACAGGCCUUCAGAUAGUUAGAUAUUUUUUUGGAGAAGCUUUUAUGAGCCCAAUUCUUGCAUCUCCUCAUAUCUAGAAAAACACUAAAAUCCUUCAAUGAUGACUGAUGUCUGUGACUAGUAUAUCUAGGAAAACACUACGCAUAUCUAGAAAAACACUAAAAUCCUUCAAUGAUGACUUCUAUAAAAUAUAUGCAUGGCUGCAUGCACUCCCCCUUCACCUUUAUGACUUAUAUAUUGAUACAGCCCUCUUUCCUCUUUAGGGUGGUAUUUCAGACCUAUCUGAAAUACUGCCUCAUGGGCUGUAGUUAGAGGACGAAACGAAAGAUAUCAUGGUCAUCUGCAACCACAACCACUCCCAAGGACGGGCCACUGAGCCCUGAGGGAACUCAGGGAAGAAACGAAGAAGACUGGCCCACAGUUGAGGUGCACAUCAAAGGAGCAACUCCAGGAAGCCCACACUUUUACAUCUUCCCAUAGAAACUGGUUUUCUGUCAAUCUGGUUAUCUGUAAAUCUUUUGUUCCUACUACCUUCCCUUUGUUGCAAAACUCACAUGGCACCCCCCACCUCACCUGCUCAGAGUGGUUUCUCAGGGCUAUCUGAGAUGCUGUCUCUUGGGCUUAAGUCCUAAUGUCACCCCAAAUAAAACUUAACUCU
rnacentral:lncRNA from 1 species